UUCGCAUUUUCCAAUGAACAUUACUCACAUUUCUUGUACUGAAAUUUCUAACUAAUUUUCAACGAUUUUUCUCCGAAACCGACUAAUUUAUUUACAAAGUUACGUAAAGUCUCCCUCUUCUCGACACUUCUUCGACAUCGUUCAAGAGCUGAGCAGAUGCAAAAGACGAUUUGUUCCCAAGCAAAAAAAAAAGUAAAGCUAUUUCCACGCAAACCGUAAACAUCAGGAACAAUGGUUCUGCAAACGCACGGGACAAGGUGUUAAGAGAUUCUGCACGUCUAUUUCCAGACGCCUCUCCUGUUGUUCACCUUUUGCCCAACCUGGAAAUAGGCGAAAAUUCGUCGUCCGACCGAGGAAAAACUGUUGCACCGCAAUCAAGAAGGCCACAAUUUCCACACGACGAUGAAUUAAUAAAUAAUAAUAGAAACAAAAGAAAAAGAAAAAAAUAAGAAGGAAAAUUAAGUGGUCGAGGGAAAUAAAUCUCGAUUGUUCAUUUGCAAAUAGCGAUUAUUAAGUUCCACCUUCGCCGACGCUGAGGUCAUAUGCAAUCACCGUUUGUGAAAACAAAGGAAUAGAUUGCGUAACCAUGGUAAUAACCACGGUAACAACCAGAAUGUUCUGCGAGCGCGCUCGAGGCCGUUGAUAAGGAGUUGCUGAUGACGCAAGGGCGGCCGAUGGAAACAAAUGCAACAAAGUGAGAUCACCACGGGGAAUCCCCGUCCCGCCGACUCGACCCGAUUAACUCGCAGCACUUGCAGAGUGCUUUUCAUCGUGGGACGUCGCCGCCACCCUUCUUACUGUUACAACCAUAAUAAUUUCAUCGACUUUCAAUGUGUUUCAAUCAAUUCCGUUGGACUUGUGGAUUUGUCUUUUUCCACUUUGCUGCCGUUGCAUUUGAACCGCCAGCAAAGAGAAAAGGGCUGCUGCACAACAUCCCAAUCUUCAUCGUCAAAGAAGAAACGAAAAAAAGGGUUCCUCUUUUCUCGUCUUCGUUUCACUUUUCACUUCAGUUGGAUUGGCUUUGGUGAGGAAAUCAUUGGAUUGCAGAUGAUGAUGAUGAGUAGAAGGAGGAUGAGGAAAAGCAGCCAAGAAGCAAACAUGACCUGGAGUAACCCAUUUCGGGACGCCAAACAUUGCCCUCGCGAUCUCUAAGCUAUUUAACAGGAAAUCAUAAUUUUCCGCAAACUCGCACCGUUUUAUUUUUAUCUACGUUUUGCGCCCAUCCCGACCUUACCUACAAAGCCUCGACACUCGAUCACAUAUUUAACAUACUUCUUAUUUUUGCUCGACAUACAAAAUAUAUAUAUAUGUAAGAGAAACUAUACAGCAGGCACGAAUUUCACUGUUAUCUUUCCAGCGACAAUUCGACGAACGCAUUCCGAAGACUGAAGUAGUUCUUAUCUAUGCUCGCAAAAUAUUUACAAUUUACAA